rnacentral:misc_RNA from 1 species
GCGGAGGAAAAGAAACCAACAGGGAUUGCCUCAGUAACGGCGAGUGAAGCGGCAACAGCUCAAAUUUGAAAUCUGGCCCUUUCAGGGUCCGAGUUGUAAUUUGCAGAGGGCGCUUUGGCGUCGGCAGCGGUCUAAGUUCCUUGGAACAGGACGUCACAGAGGGUGAGAAUCCCGUACGUGGUCGCUCUGCCUUCGCCGUGUAAAGCCCCUUCGACGAGUCGAGUUGUUUGGGAAUGCAGCUCUAAAUGGGAGGUAAAUUUCUUCUAAAGCUAAAUACCGGCCAGAGACCGAUAGCGCACAAGUAGAGUGAUCGAAAGAUGAAAAGCACUUUGGAAAGAGAGUCAAAAAGCACGUGAAAUUGUUGAAAGGGAAGCGCUUGCAGCCAGACGUGCCUGUAGUUGCUCAUCCGGGCUCUUGCCCGGUGCACUCUUCUGCAGGCAGGCCAGCAUCAGUUCGGGCGGUUGGAUAAAGGCCUCUGUCACGUACCUCCCUCCGGGGAGGCCUUAUAGGGGAGGCGUCAUGCAACCAGCCUGGACUGAGGUCCGCGCAUCUGCUAGGAUGCUGGCGUAAUGGCUGUAAGCGGCCCGUCUUGAAACACGGACCAAGGAGUCUAACAUCUAUGCGAGUGUUUGGGUGUCAAGCCCGAGCGCGCAAUGAAAGUGAACGGAGGUGGGAACCCUUCGGGGCGCACCAUCGACCGAUCCUGAUGUCUUCGGAUGGAUUUGAGUAAGAGCAUAGCUGUUGGGACCCGAAAGAUGGUGAACUAUGCUUGAAUAGGGUGAAGCCAGAGGAAACUCUGGUGGAAGCUCGCAGCGGUUCUGACGUGCAAAUCGAUCGUCAAAUUUGGGCAUAGGGGCGAAAGA